UUUUGUGGAGGGUUCGAUUCUGGCUCAGGAUGAACGCUGGCGGCGUGCUUAACACAUGCAAGUCGAACGGGAUCCAUCAGGCUUUGCUUGGUGGUGAGAGUGGCGAACGGGUGAGUAAUGCGUGACCGACCUGCCCCAUACACCGGAAUAGCUCCUGGAAACGGGUGGUAAUGCCGGAUGCUCCGACUCCUCGCAUGGGGUGUCGGGAAAGAUUUCAUCGGUAUGGGAUGGGGUCGCGUCCUAUCAGGUAGUCGGCGGGGUAACGGCCCACCGAGCCUACGACGGGUAGCCGGCCUGAGAGGGCGACCGGCCACAUUGGGACUGAGAUACGGCCCAGACUCCUACGGGAGGCAGCAGUGGGGAAUAUUGCACAAUGGGCGCAAGCCUGAUGCAGCGACGCCGCGUGCGGGAUGACGGCCUUCGGGUUGUAAACCGCUUUUGAUCGGGAGCAAGCCUUCGGGUGAGUGUACCUUUCGAAUAAGCACCGGCUAACUACGUGCCAGCAGCCGCGGUAAUACGUAGGGUGCAAGCGUUAUCCGGAAUUAUUGGGCGUAAAGGGCUCGUAGGCGGUUCGUCGCGUCCGGUGUGAAAGUCCAUCGCUUAACGGUGGAUCUGCGCCGGGUACGGGCGGGCUGGAGUGCGGUAGGGGAGACUGGAAUUCCCGGUGUAACGGUGGAAUGUGUAGAUAUCGGGAAGAACACCAAUGGCGAAGGCAGGUCUCUGGGCCGUUACUGACGCUGAGGAGCGAAAGCGUGGGGAGCGAACAGGAUUAGAUACCCUGGUAGUCCACGCCGUAAACGGUGGAUGCUGGAUGUGGGGCCCGUUCCACGGGUUCCGUGUCGGAGCUAACGCGUUAAGCAUCCCGCCUGGGGAGUACGGCCGCAA
rnacentral:rRNA from 1 species